AUUGAACGCUGGCGGCAGGCCUAACACAUGCAAGUCGAGCGAGUGGCGGACGGGUGAGUAAUGUCUGGGAAACUGCCUGAUAGAGGGGGAUAACUCCUGGAAACGGUGGCUAAUACCGCAUACCAUCCGAUGGACCCAUAUGGGAUUAGCUUGUUGGUGGGGUAACGGCUCACCAAGGCGACGAUCCCUAGCUGGUCUGAGAGGAUGAUCAGCCACACUGGAACUGAGACACGGUCCAGACUCCGACGGGAGGCAGCAGUGGGGAAUAUUGCACAAUGGGCGCAAGCCUGAUGCAGCCAUGCCGCGUGUAUGAAGAAGGCCUUCGGGUUGUAAAGUACUUUCAGCGGGGAGGCGUUACCCGCAGAAGAAGCACCGGCUAACUCCGUGCCAGCAGCCGCGGUAAUAC
rnacentral:rRNA from 1 species